rnacentral:lncRNA from 1 species
AACAUCAACUACAUAAUAUGUUUCAUGCAUCCAUAUUAUCAUCCACAACCUACCACUACACAUAUAUGCAUCAAUAAUAAAACAGCAUUCCACUUCGACAUAGAAGCGAGAUAAUAUUAUCGUUGAGCACAACCGACCUCUUAUCGCUCUCCAAUUGCUUGUCGACACUUGCAAUCGGCCUCCCGCGGCACACAUCGUCCGGUUCGGCUCGAACUCGCAACCGAUCACCAACCGCACAUCAAUCCACGACCUAGGUUCUUCAAGGGCUCCUCUAUAACCUUCAAUUAGAGAGCCACGGGGUUAAAUGAGAUCAAAACCCUCAUUUACUCCAAAACCCCAAAAUCCUAACCCUACACCCUAGCAUGUACACACACUCCAAAUAACCCAAAUUAAAUG